rnacentral:rRNA from 1 species
AUGCAUGUGUAAGUGCACGCACUCUCCUAACGGCAAAACUGCGAAUGGCUCAUUAAAUCAGUUAUAAUUUGUUGGGUCUUCAGUUUUCCUACUUGGCAUAACUGUGGCAAUUCUAGAGCUAAUACAUGCAACCAAGCUCCGACCUCACGGUGGGAGCGCUUUUGUUAGCCUUAAAACCAACUCCGGUGCUCCUCGCGGGCCCGGGACCGGUUUGGGGACUCUGGACAACUGCCAAUCGCACGCCCUUGUGGCGGCGAUAGAUCCAUCAAGUGUCUGCCCUAUCAACUCGACGCUAGGCUCUGCUGCCUAGCGCGGUGAUAACGGGUAACGGGGAAUCAGGGUUCGAUUCCGGAGAGGGAGCCUGCGAAACGGCUACCACAUCCAAGGAAGGCAGCAGGCGCGCAAAUUACCCACUGCCGACACGGCGAGGUAGUGACGAAAAAUAACAAUGCGGGUCUCUUCCGAGGCCUCGUAAUUGAAAUGAGUACACUUUAAAUCCUUUAACGAGGAUCGAUUGGAGGGCAAGUCUGGUGCCAGCAGCCGCGGUAAUUCCAGCUCCAAUAGCGUAUACUAAAGUUGCUGCAGUUAAAAAGCUCGUAGUUGGAUCUCGGGUGCAGGCUUGCGGUCC